UACGGGGGGAGCAAGCGUUGUUCGGAUUUACUGGGCGUAAAGGGCGCGUAGGCGGCCACCGCAAGUCGACUGUGAAAUCUCCGGGCUUAACCCGGAAAGGUCAGCCGAUACUGCGGGGCUAGAGUGCAGAAGGGGGCAACUGGAAUUCUCGGUGUAGCGGUGAAAUGCGUAGAUAUUGGGAAGAACACCGGAGGCGAAGGCGGGUUGCUGGGCCGACACUGACGCUGAGGCGCGAAAGCCAGGGGAGCGAACGGG
rnacentral:rRNA from 1 species